rnacentral:rRNA from 1 species
GAUGAACGCUAGCGGCAGGCCUAACACAUGCAAGUCGAGGGGCAGCAUAAAUAAAGCUUGCUUUAUUGGUGGCGACCGGCGCACGGGUGAGUAACGCGUAUGUAACCUGCCCUGUACUGGGGGAUAACCCGGAGAAAUUCGGACUAAUACCCCAUAAUGUUAAUUGAUGGCAUCAUUGAUUGAUUAAAGGUUACGGUACAGGAUGGGCAUGCGUUCCAUUAGCUAGUUGGUAUGGUAACGGCAUACCAAGGCGACGAUGGAUAGGGGGCCGUGAGAGGGUGAUCCCCCACCACUGGUACUGAGACACGGACCAGACUCCUACGGGAGGCAGCAGUGAGGAAUAUUGGUCAAUGGAGGCAACUCUGAACCAGCCAUGCCGCGUGCAGGAAGACGGUCCUAUGGA